UACCUGGAGGAAGAGAAAGCAAAUGCGAUUUCCUGAGUAGCGGCGAGCGAAACGGAACAUAGCCCAAACCAAGAGGCUUGCCUCUUGGGGUUGUAGGACAUUCUAUACGGAGUUACAAAGGAACGAGGUAGACGAAGCGACCUGGAAAGGUCCGUCGUAGAGGGUAACAACCCCGUAGUCGAAACUUCGUUCUCUCUUGAAUGUAUCCUGAGUACGGCGGAACACGUGAAAUUCCGUCGGAAUCUGGGAGGACCAUCUCCCAAGGCUAAAUACUCCCUAGUGAUCGAUAGUGAACCAGUACCGUGAGGGAAAGGUGAAAAGCACCCCGGAAGGGGAGUGAAAGAGAUCCUGAAACCGUGUGCCUA
rnacentral:rRNA from 1 species